rnacentral:tRNA from 1 species
CAAAGAGUAGUUUAAUCAGAAUUUUAGCUUUGGGAGCUAGCGGCAGGGGUUAAAAUCCCUUCUUUUUGA